rnacentral:lncRNA from 10 species
GCAGACUGGGCAUCCAGGUUGCCUCUCCCGCACCACUUGCAGGAUGCCAGGAUGAUGGAGGAGGCCCUCGACGGGGCUCCCUCCCUCCCUCCACACCACCACCACCACCACCACCACCGCCGUGGCUGCCUCUGAAGAGGACGAGGAGUGUGGCUGAGAGCCCAGAAAGGGGCACUUCACAUCUCCCGAGGCCAUCAGAGUCAGCCUCUCUGGCCCAAGCAGCUGCCUCUGUUUGCUCAGCCUCAGAUUGCAGCAUUUAAGAGCGACGUUCCCAAACACUUGAACACAGAAGGCUUUUCAUCCUCAGAGUCCAGCACAAGUGUUACCUAAUUAAUGUUCAACAAUGUUACCAAGCCUCCCUCUUUUAAGACGUAUCAACCUGGAAAGGUCUGGAAUUAAGGAUUUUGAUCUCGCAUGGAUUGCUUUCAUGUAUUUCGGGUAAUUCGCACAGCUGCUUAAAGAAAGAUAUUCAUCGACUAUAAACAGCCCCAAGUUUGAGCAGCUACACAAAUAAACCUUCUCUUAUCUCUCCUGGCAGCUUUCCUUUGCCUGCUUGGGCAGUGAAGGGAUCAAAACUGCUCCCCGACAGACUGAUUCAAUGAGCACAUGGCCUCUAAAGUGAAUCACUCUUCAGCCAGGCAGAAUAAACUCCCAGCUUGAGAUCCUCA